GAAAAGCCAGAGUUCCGAAAUCUACCUAGCUUCCUAUCUGGGGAAUCCAUGGGUGGGAGCAAUAGCUUUGAAGGUGCAACACAUGCAACCUAAUGCUUUGAACGGUGCUGUCGUGUUGCACCUAUGUGCAAAGUAUAUUUCUGGAAAUGCUUCUCAAGUCUUACUGAUGCUUCUGGUCUCUGAUUCAUAUAGAGUGAUGACCGAUCUGUUAUAUAGACUGCAGAAAACAUGGUUCACCAUGGUUAGUAACAAAAAUCUUAACUGGCAUCGCUAAGCUUCUUCCAACACAGAAGCUAGUUCCAACACAGGAUUUAGGUGAGUUGCCACUUGGCAGUCAGAGAUGCAAAGAAGAGAGAAAUGGUAUCUCGUGGAUUUAGUCGAGAUGCGCGCAAGUUGACCGGAACACCACGGUUAUUCAAAAAAUAAUAAUGACAUGCACACACACAAACACGAGGUGAUGUCUUCCGUCUGUCCUAGCCUUGGUAGACAGAGUUACCUAGUGCUUGUUGUUGGUGAAAGGUGGCAGGUAUCCCGUGGAUUUAGUCGAGGUGCGUGCAAGCUGGCUGGGACACCACGGUUAUCAAACUAAUAAUAAUGAUGAUGACAUGCCCACACACCCCUGCUUGAACAUGUAUGUACUAUCCCUAGUUUUCUCAUAUAAGAUGCAAUCUGUUUCUUCUGUGUGCAGAUUGUCUAUAAUAUCAUCUCUUACAAACGUAAACCUUGUUUACAGACCGUCCUGGAGUUACUGAAUGCUAUAAAAGAGAUUCAACUUUUCUUUAAUUAGCGUAAAAUUUCAUCACCAUAUUAACUGUUUAAAGUUUGAUAUGUGAAUCUUUCGCAUUUAUGGAGUUGCUCCAUGCAGAGUUUACCUUCCUGUGUAACUAUUUUAAUGAGUUUCCAAUGAUUUCUUGAUAUUAAAACCUUUUUUUUUUUUUUUUUUUUUUUUUUUUUGACCUUGUAAUUCAUUCUUGCUGGUGUAUCAUCUUUUGCUCUUGUAGUUUAGGAAACACUUGUACUCAUUUACCUUGACAUAUAGCGCCGCCAACUAUCUAUAAGAUGAACUUGCAGAACUUUCUUUCUUCAAAAGAACAAUACUUCGGAUGGGUGAUAAAAGCAAGAGUGUACUCGCGGGAACAUUAACUUAUGCUAAUCCUUCCCAAAAAAGGAUGUCAAAUGCCUCAUAUAAACUCCAUUUCGUGCGCUUUAUCUUGUGAUGCUCUCCUCGCUUAGUUUUUUCCUGCUUUACUGGAACCGUAGCAAAAGAAAACCAGAUAUUAGUUAUAUCAAAUUUUGUCUCCGGGAGGUUAGUUUUCUGAAAUUACCUUAAUCUCUUUACAAAAGUUGACCCUGGACCCAAAAAAAUCUUCCCGCUAUCACUUCUGAGGACUGACUGAUGUAGGAAAGCGUUAACUUCGCUAGAAUUUGAUUCUUUCCUGAAAAGACUUCCCCUAAAGCAAUUCUUUUACCUUGCUGACUUAAACUUUGAAGGAGUGCUAUGGGAUGUGUUAUCCAACGGAAAAAUACCUAACAAUGGGAAAGACACGUUUCAUAGAAUGGUUCUGCAAUCACUAAUAUUUAAUGGGAGGGACUAGGAGGUUUCAAAUGAAGGGAAGCACCACGUGAUUAGCUUUUACUCUAAAACACAACGCAAAAGAUCUAUAUAGGCUAUACCAACUAGUUGGAUUUUAGUUGUCUGCGUAAGCAUUAGUUUAAGAUUUAGAGAAGCCUUGAAUUUGUUUUAAAAUUUUGACUCUCAAAAUCCAAACAGUGCCGCCUUCUGGGUUGAGCUCGUCGCACGGGGCUUGUCUAGUGUGGGUUAUAUCUUCUGUGUGGUUUGCGGGCUAUUACAUAGGAGCAGGGUUUACCCCUGUGCGCACCCGAAGGGUAGCGGCUGCGGGUUCCCUUGUCAUAAAAAAAAAAAUCCAAACAGCUCCACAUAAAUUGGGACAAACGGACUAUAUGAUUCACUGGCAGUGUAAUAUUUUUAUGUUAUGUGAUCAUAUUUACCUGUUGUAACAGGUAAUCCGUCCUACAUUGUUUUCAAAAUUAUGAAUCUCUCAUUUUAUUGAAGAUUACCUAUAGAUAUCUUAAGAAUGAUAUGAUGGUAUAAAAUAAAAAUAUUUACACUAUUUGAUCCAUGGAAGCAUCCACUAAUGCUUGUAUUAGGGUAGAUUGUCUACAUUACACCCCUCGGGGUGCGGCCUUUCUCCGGACCUGAUAAUGCGGGAUGCCCAUUUCUCUUUUGCUGGUGUAUGUAAGUUAACUAAACAUCCAUUUUACAUUACAUAAUUUUUCUAAGUUCUGAAUCUCAUCUUCUCUAUCCAUGCCUUACUUUACGUUGCCCCUCGAUUUCUUAUACUAGCUUUUCAUUAGUCCAGUUUCAGGAGAAACAGAAACUGAGAAAGCUUAUUGGUUUUCAUUAACUAAUCUUAUUGUCAAAUUUGGGAGGAAGUAACGACACCUAGACAAAAUUGUCUAAAUUUCAUGCAAAAUCAAACACCUGCUAUUCUGGCGAAAUUCUACAAACUUAAGACACUCCCUUUUUUAUUUACUUGAUAGUACAACAUACACUUACAUGUAACUGAACUUCAUGCAUAUAUAUAGACUUACAUAGACUUUUAGUACAUGACGCAAAAAGAAAAACAGCUUAGACAGAAAUAAAAUAAAACACACAACAGUCUGCUCUUAGUAGCAGUUUCAUUUCAAAGGGGGAAAUUUAUGAUCAUUAAGUAUCAUUUAUAAUAAAAGUGCAGGUACUCUUCAUAACUAUAUGGGGACCAAAGCCACUCCAUUAUCUGAUAAUCCCUAUUGUUAUUAGCACCUGAAACUGGUGGUCCCUCCACAAGGUUCUCUUCUGGAGGAGGUAUCUCCAUCCAGUUCUCCAAUUCCAAAAGUUGUUCAGUUGUGGGCUCUGGACAAAUAAAUCCCGGCUUCUCAUUAUUCAUUUCCAGUUCUUCUUCAGGAAAAAAGUCAGAAAACAUAGCAUCAAAAUACACGCUAGUUUUCUUAAAAUUGAAGUCAUCUUCGCCUAGUUGUAUUAUCAGCCCCAGUUCCUCGUAAUCCUUCACAUCUAAUGGAAUUUCCUCAAACUCUCCAACAUUUUUCGACCUUUUGACUUCCUCGUCAUUUUUCACCGCUACUUUCACCUCAUCACCCUCGUUAAGAGACCCCAUGACGGAAAAAUAAAAUGGACAAGAAAACAAAAAAAGAUCAAAAGAAGAAGAAGUUUUUUUUUUUUUUUUUUUUUGUGCUUCGAUAGAGUGAGGAGAGAGUGAAUAUAUAGUGAGGAGAGCAACGUUAUCGUUUUUGGAUUAUAUGCCUGCAUGCAUGAGUCAUCGCAUAAUCACACAAGCAAUUAAUGUGGUGUUUGUUUUUUCUCAUACAAAUUAAAAAGGGAGAUUAAAGAGAAGUAAUCUUGAGUUUUUUCACUGAUAUUAAUCUGAUUACAUGUAUUAAUAAGUGGUUGGUAGUUUAGAUUUAUAGCAGAAUUAAUAAUUUGAAAGAUCACAGUAAUUGAACUGGAACAAAGAGGCAGCUCCCGAACCACCUCUUGUCCGUUACAAGAAUCAAGUAUUAUGCAUUAAAUUCAAUGAAGGGUUGUUUAAAAUUUACUACUAAAAAGUAAAGGUAGUUCAGAUAAGAUUAGUUGAGUGUGACUUCUAUGAUAAUGCAUAAACAUUCAAGAUAACUACAGUAUAAUUAAUGUGGGAUUAGCUAGUAACCUGAUAAAUAAGAUAAAUUACAUCUGUUAUGAUGGAUUGAAAUAAAUACUAAUUAUAGUAUCACUCAGAGUGUGGCCUUGUGCUUAAUGAAGUGGACUGAACAAUGAGGUCUAAGGUUCAUUUUCCAACGGAAGCAAUGGACUACUCCCUUUGUACCAAAAUAUUUGUCACGUUUCGCUUCUUAAGAGUCACAGUACGUGAACUUUGACUAACAUUUUAAGAUGUAAUUUUCACCACAUUGAUUUGAGAAAAAUUGCAACAUAUGGUACUUUUUGUAUAGUUUUUGAAUAUCUAAAUUUUAAUUGCAAAAUAUUAAAUUCAUGUAAUCUAAUUUAGCUACAAGAAUUAGUCGAAUUGACUCUCAAAAGUGAAAUGUGACAACUGUUGUGGGACGGAGGGAGUAGGUUAUUUCUUCUCGUUUGUCCAAGUUUUUGUGGACAGAGUUACCCGGUACCUACGCUAGUGAGAGGUAGCAGAUGCCCCGUAGAAUUAGUCAAGGUGCGAACAAGCUAACCCAAACAUCUGUAUUAUAAUAUCAGUGUAUAUAAGUUAAAUCCUAAAUAUAUUGGGUUGUUUAAAUUGUUAGAUGUUAGAAGAAGAAAAAUAAUUCAUUUUUAUAUUUAUGGUCAUAUACCGGAAAGGAGGAUAGCCCAUAGCAUUUAAACCUGUAACCCCAACCGGAGAAAAGUUAGAAGUCUCCAAAAAAACACCGACCAAUUUUUUGUCACCUGUAUGAAUUUUGUAAUGUGUAAACUUGCUUCUAUUUCUUUUUGGUGUUUUGCUAGUUUUAGAGCUCAGGUUAUGCAUGUAUUACACAUGUUCAGUAGGUUCUAGAAUGCCAAGUAUGUGUCAGUUUUAUUCAGAACUUUCCAAGAAAUAACAGUUCAGUUUGGUGGUUCUGUAGUUAGCAUGGCGUAAGUCUUUUUGAUUUUUCUUCACUGAAAUACAAGGAGAUAAUCAAGAUAGGGUGGCGGUGUUGAUGCCAGUUAUGUAUGUGUUGUUUACUUGAUCCAUUGUUUUGUGUUGUAGAAAUUAAAGUUGCAAGCGAGGUUGUCGGAACCUUCAGCAACACAACUUAGAUGAUUUUUUUUUUUUUGUAAAUGAAACACAAAACUAAACUCAAGGAAAGUUUAUGAAAGCAAUUUCAUUCAAGGAAGGAAGGUUGGUCAAUAAGCAUCUCCUUGAGUGUGGAAAAGCAUUAGAAAUCCUAAUAUUUGGCCUGAGCCAUUUCUUUUUCUGUUCCCGUCCCCCGGCAUUAGCGCUUCGCUUUUGAUUUUCCGAAAGAAUUAACUUACGUCUCCCUUUUUCAUUGAUUUUUGGGGGGGGGGGGGGGGGGGGGCGGAAAGGAACCUAAAGAGCGACGAGAAACCUAUAUGCUUGGUGGGUAAAAUGAAAACUAAAACAUCCACAUACAAAAAGGAAACAUAUUCCACUCUGUACAAUAUUAUUACAUAUUUUCAAAUUCUCAAAAUUUGUGAAGAACCACUCGAGCGCAUUUAUGGAAGGCAAUAAACAAAAUUGAUGAACUAUCGACCCCCUUACAUAAAAAAUUGCUUAAGAUAGAGAUACUUGCUUAAUAAAUAUACAAGAAAAUUGAAAACUUUACUCUAUUGCUAGUUAAUGUCCAAAAUUUCCAUCUUCCCUUUUUCUUUUCUAGUAAAAAGUUCUUCUUUAUUGAACAUCUUUAUAGUCAAAUUUCCAUAUUGAAUGUUCAAACUGUAGCAACCAGACUAGAGUUUUGGCAAUCAAAGCCUUCAACUCUAGCUGGUGCUUUAGUUUGCCCAAGUAUAUGUGUUGCCCUUGCAGAUGACCUUCCUUUACAACUUGAUGAUGGAGAAGGUGAAGCUGAUGUCGAUGGACUUGAUGAUGAUAAACAGAAGGGCCAUUUGAGAGAGGAGUGAGAGAGCUUUGUAAUGGGGAAUCAGGCGAAGUUUCCAUGAAUAAGUGAGGAAUUGCAGAAGAUAUUAGAUGCAGAUAUGGAAAACGUGGAGGCCAGGCGUCGUGCUAGGGAGGCUUUUAAAGAUAUUCAGCUCUCAAUUGAUCAUAUCUUAUUCAAGGCAGAUUUAACAAUAAAGCAGUUGGAGUGGUAAUAACAGUAUCCAUAUCUUUCGUGGAUUUGCUUAUUUGGCGGGGAGUUAUCGUUAGUAGAUCAUCUCGAUGGAAGAGAUUCUAGAAGUUCUCUAUCAAGUGUGAAUUCACUUCGGACCACUGUUAGCAGUUCAAGGGCAUUUCAAGAGAUCAUUCCCUUUUCUGUCGAUUAGUUGUCACACUACAUUAAUGUCACACUUUCCCUAAAUCCAGGCAGAAACUUAUUUGCCGCUUUAAAAAACUGAAAAAACAGUUAACAAAAUUGGCUUUUUGCAUAUUACAUCAGAUUGGGUAGCUAUUAAUUCUGCUCGUCAAUCAUCAUUCGGUUCCUGAAAAGGUGAAAGGACAUUUGUCACUUGUACAUUCUCAUAAAGAUAUCCUACGUGGAAGUAACGUGUUCGUACUGAUUUUUUAUGUUCUUUCAAUGAUUGCGUCUUCUAUCUUUGCACCAGGUGCCACAUGCUGGAUUGAAGAUGGAGGUGUCUUGUAAGGUUAAUUCUCGAGGGCUGGAAGGCUUCUCCAAUAGUUGGCUUCCGGAGACACGUCCAAAAGCUGUUGUCUAUUUUUGUCAUGGUUAUGGGGAUACAUGCACAUUUUUAGCGGAAGGGUUGUGCCUUGCAAAAGCAUUUGAAGUCUCAGACAAGCUAAUCCUUUCUUUCUUCAAAACAAAACCAAUUGUAAAAACUGUCCUUAUAUGUAGGCGUUGCAAGGAAAUUAGCAUAUUUCGGUUAUGCAGUAGUUGUGAUGGAUUCCCCUGGAUUUGGUCUUUCAGAAGGUCUUCAUGGUUAUAUACCAAGUUUUGACAAGCUGGCAGAUGAUGUCAUUGAGCAUUACUCGAAACUUAAAGGCAUGACUCUCAAUUGGAUAAUCAAUUUCAUCAUCUUCAUGGUUAAAUGAUUCUUCGGGGUCAAGGCACAAAUAAUAUGUAGAAAUUGGAUUCAAAAUAUCUUACAUGUGAAGGUGUGACCCAUGUGAGCUUUAGUUUUCAUUUCCUUUCUUUCUAUGGAGCAGAUAGCGCAGCUGAAUAUGUUUUAGAUCUGGCUGAUAAAAGGCUUAGGCCAUGUCUUAAACUAGAGGAUAGCUAUUACUAUUCUGCUGAAUUUGUAAAGUCUAAUGUUACUUUUGGAAUUGUUCUGUACAUGUGAAGACCAUCUUAGUAUUGUUCAUUUAUGAAACUCUUAAUGUUUACAAAUCAAAAGAAGUAUCAAAUUCUUAUGAA